rnacentral:rRNA from 1 species
GACGAACGCUGGCGGCGUGCUUAACACAUGCAAGUCGAACGGAAAGGCCCUGCUUUUGUGGGGUGCUCGAGUGGCGAACGGGUGAGUAACACGUGAGUAACCUGCCCUUGACUUUGGGAUAACUUCAGGAAACUGGGGCUAAUACCGGAUAGGAGCUCCUGCUGCAUGGUGGGGGUUGGAAAGUUUCGGCGGUUGGGGAUGGACUCGCGGCUUAUCAGCUUGUUGGUGGGGUAGUGGCUUACCAAGGCUUUGACGGGUAGCCGGCCUGAGAGGGUGACCGGCCACAUUGGGACUGAGAUACGGCCCAGACGCCUACGGGAGGCAGCAGUGGGGAAUAUUGCGCAAUGGGCGGAAGCCUGAUGCAGCAACGCCGCGUGCGGAAUGACGGCCUUCGGGUUAUAAACCGAUUUCGCCUGUGACGAAGCGUGAGUGACGGUAAUGGGUAAAGAAGCACCGGCUAACUACGUG